rnacentral:rRNA from 1 species
AUUGAACGCUGGCGGCAGGCCUAACACAUGCAAGUCGAGCGGAUGAAGGGAGCUUGCUCCUGGAUUCAGCGGCGGACGGGUGAGUAAUGCCUAGGAAUCUGCCUGGUAGUGGGGGAUAACGUCCGGAAACGGGCGCUAAUACCGCAUACGUCCUGAGGGAGAAAGUGGGGGAUCUUCGGACCUCACGCUAUCAGAUGAGCCUAGGUCGGAUUAGCUAGUUGGUGGGGUAAAGGCCUACCAAGGCGACGAUCCGUAACUGGUCUGAGAGGAUGAUCAGUCACACUGGAACUGAGACACGGUCCAGACUCCUACGGGAGGCAGCAGUGGGGAAUAUUGGACAAUGGGCGAAAGCCUGAUCCAGCCAUGCCGCGUGUGUGAAGAAGGUCUUCGGAUUGUAAAGAACUUUAAGUUGGGAGGAAGGGCAGUAAGUUAAUACCUGGCUGUUUUGACGUUACCAACAGAAUAAGCACCGGCUAACUUCGUG